CUUAUCAUUUUAGAGGAAGGAGAAGUCGUAACAAGGGUUUCCGUAGGUGAACCCGCGGAAGGAUCAUUGUCGAA
rnacentral:rRNA from 1 species